GCUGCCGUAGAGCGGGUUCUUAGUGUCCUGAAAAGGCAUCAGCCGACCACCUCGGUGCGGAGCCCGAGCCGCCGCGC
rnacentral:tRNA from 1 species